rnacentral:lncRNA from 1 species
ACGUAUCCCUCACCGUCUAUACCCGAUCAUCAAUCAACAACACGCAUUCCAAUGUAGACAAUCAUACACGAAGCAAACAAGCUAUAAUUAGAACAAUACACCAAACAGUGGUAAAUCAAAGAUAAAAGUUUAUAAAAAUAUUCUACGCAGCACUACAAUCACACCAAUGUAAAGUUCACGAAAUCGGAGAAAAUCGAAAUAAAAACGUAGAAGAUAUGAAUUUUCUA